CUCAAUUAAAAUCUACAUUCACAACUUACAAGAGACUGAAAAGAGCCUUACCUUAACAAUGACUUCUGCAGUCAGGAAUCUGGGGAAAAGCCGUCCUCACUCACUGAGCAGGGAGCUUGGCAAAGGACCCAUGAACAGCUGUGAGGAGGAGGGCACUGGCUGGUCAGUGCCAUUACUACUGCCUGCGACUGGCUUCAAACUCACAGAGGGCCACCGGCCUCACCUCCUGAUUACUGGAAUUAAAGGUAAGGGCCAACUCACCCAGCUGAGCUCCAUUUUUUAUUCUUUCCUUGCUCUACUUAUAUCAAGCAAGGGAUAAGUUCUGCUAGCUCUUCCCAGAACAAUUUUUCUAUCUGUGAUAACUAGUAAUGGAGAUGCAGUAAUGAAGGCAUUUUCUUCCAUCAGCCUUUCAAAUUUUUGGUUACUCUCAUUCAAAUCAAUUAUGUACUACUAUCAG